AGAAAAUCAAAAUUUUAAUGAUGAACUUGAUACCAUAAGCAACAAUUUACCACCCACAUCAGAAAAUCAGAAUUUUAAUGAUGAACUUGAUACCAUAAGCAACAAUUUACCACUCACCUCAGAAAUACCUAGAUACUCUAUAAAAAAUUAUGAUAAAAAUAAGCUAAAUACACUUGAUCACUUCAAAUCUCUACCUAGUAAAAGUAUAUCAAGUAUCACAUUGAAGAAGAAUGAUAGUAGUCAACAAAAUAUUAUAGGCUGUAUCAAUUUAGAAUUUAAAGGAAUAUCUCAAUUAAUAUUCACACCAAGGGGUAAAAAAAAU